rnacentral:hammerhead_ribozyme from 1 species
GUACCACCGAUGAGUCCCAAAUUAGGACGAAACAGCUGUCCAGUAC